UACGGAAGAUGCGAGCGUUAUCCGGAUUUAUUGGGUUUAAAGGGAGCGUAGGCGGGCUUUUAAGUCAGCGGUAAAAUGGCCUUGCUCAACGAGGUCCUGCCGUUGAAACUGAUUGCCUUGAAUGUGCACAAGGAAGGUGGAAUUCGUGGUGUAGCGGUGAAAUGCUUAGAUAUCACGAAGAACUCCGAUUGCGAAGGCAGCCUUCUGGGGCAUGAUUGACGCUGAGGCUCGAAAGUGCGGGUAUCGAACA
rnacentral:rRNA from 1 species